AAAGGAAAACAAAGCGAAAUCGCAUUUUACUUCUGCAAUUCUAUCCGUCAAAAUCCCAAAGCUCUGAAAGGAAAACAGAUCGAAAUCGCAUUUAACUUCUGCAAUUCGAUCCUUUAAAAUGCCUAGAAACGUCAAUUCUGUCCUCCACACCAGCAAUCUCUUCGCAGAUUUCAGGAAGUGGAAAAUCCUAUCGUUUCUAGCUCAUUUGCUGGAUUUGAGCAGUUUCUGCAUUGCAGUAUUAGCGAUUAGGGUUUGGUGUUCGAUCUGAGAGCAAAUCCUUGUUCUCUGCUGCGAAAUCUGCUCCUCCAUUGCCGAUUUCCGUGCAGGCUAGAUAAACAAGGGGCAUAUACACCGAUAUCAGCUCCUCAUCGAAUCGAACCCUAGCUCUUCUCUCUGUCUUCUCCAAUAUUUCUCUCGUCUUCGUCAGAUCUACCGUUUCUCUCUCUCUCUCUCUCUCUCUCUCUCUCUCUCUCUCUCUCUCUCUCUCUCUCUCUCUGAUCAUCAGAUCCUCAAAAGACAUUUGAUUAUUCAUUUGAAGAAGUUACUCAGAUUUACAGUUGGCAUUAUUUGAGGAUAGAGGAAGGGUUUUAACUUUCAGUCAGGGUGGAAUAUCAAAUGGUGAAAUGAUAACCAUGAGGAUAGCUUUCAAGCCUACUUCUACAAUUGCAGCAAGUUGGACUCCCUGAUAGAACACUCGUACAUUCAGCAUGGAUUGAAAAGGGAACACUAUGUCAGUCUAACAGCUAAAUUUUUUUUAUUUUUCUUAUCGGACUUGUUAUGCGACACUUGCAGAGGAAACAACAUACAGUGACCAGAUACCGACAUGAGACUGAACUCAUUGUACGAGGACGCCAUG